AGGGAGGAUGCUAGCAAUUGUGAGAAAAUCCAGAAACACUUCAGGUAAAACAGAGUUUUUCAUCUAAAAUCUGUGAACAACCAAUACCACCUCUCCCCUCUAGAUGUAAGAGUCUCCAUAAAUUUGGCUCACUCUCUCUCUCUUAAGAGAAAACAAGUGGGGACCAUAAUAGACAACAACCUCCUCUUGACUUUGAACUACAACUAGAGGGAAUCCCACUAUUCCGGAAAAGCUCAAGGUAUGUAUGGACAAUUGGUUCUCCAGCUAAUUCUCUUUCCUUUUGUUUGCCUCUACUGGUAGAGGGAGUCAGAUCACGUUCUUAUCACUCUCCAGUCUUUCUUUUGCUCACCUCUCUCCCUCUGUCUCAAAGUAAAUCUCACCUUUCUUCCUCUUCUCUCCCCCAUGUCAUAUUUCCUAGGAGAGGAUGGAUACUUGAAGACUUAAAGCAAGAGCUCGCUGAGCUGGGCAUUCCCUUAGAUGACCUACCUGGGUUAGAAGCAAGUGGGGAGUCACUUGAUAUUGAAGCUUUAUUACCAUCCAUCUUUGCUGCCUGCUUUUGUGGGUGUCCUCUGAAUACAAGGACUGUGUUGCAUCCCUGCUCUCCUUCAGCCAUCUCCAGAGCAGUCAACCUAAAGUUCCCUCAAUCAGAACCUAGGAAGAAGCCAGAACCAGCCAUAGUUAAAGCCCCAAGUGACAGGAAGCUGUGA
rnacentral:lncRNA from 1 species